UACAGAGGUCUCAAGCGUUGUUCGGAUUCAUUGGGCGUAAAGGGUGCGUAGGCGGCGCGGUAAGUCGGGUGUGAAAUCUCGGAGCUUAACUUCGAAACUGCAUUCGAUACUGCCGUGCUUGAGGACUGGAGAGGAGACUGGAAUUUACGGUGUAGCGGUGAAAUGCGCAGAUAUCGGGAGGAACACCGGUGGCGAAGGCGGUUCUCUGGGCCUGACCUGACGCUGAGGAGCGAAAGCGUGGGGAGCGAACAGG
rnacentral:rRNA from 1 species